CAAAAUAUAACUACGAAUCACUCAUGUGUGUUUUAUAAGUUUACAAACAUCAGAAUAUACGAAGAAUUUCCAUAACGCAUCUGUCGUAUGGGUGUGAAUCUGCGUCCUAAAAGCGCCCGUCAGACGAUGUAAACACAUGUAGCUGGUAUUCCCGAUGAUAGCGAUCUUUUGAUGAUUUAUCAGAGUAAUUUGAAAAGUGUCACACUUAUAUGAAAAAAAAAGGCUUGAAGAAAAUCUGAUACCUGCUUUGUUUUGGAAUUAACAUGAAUGAUGUUCUUAUUGGUGACAAUCUACCCGCACUCUUAUUCUGGAGUCAUAUAAAAGAUGAAAUGAUGAAAAGAAAAACCUGAACUCUAAGAACAGGAGGACUGUGUUUUUGAAGAGAAAAGAGAAGCAGAACUAAGAAGUCAUACAAUAAACACAUUGACAUCAUAUAAAGAAAUUGCAAUUAUGAGUUUGCAAGCAUGUGUCAGAUUUAAAUUAUGUCAAAGAAAUUUUUUUUUCUUCAGAAAGUCUUUUUAUCUUCUUGAAUUAAUAAAACAAAUGAACCAAAUAUAAUUGUUUUUAAAUUCAUACAUUUGUUUGAGAAGUGGAGGAACAAGCAUUUACUUAAGUUAAUAUAUUGAAUUGCUAUAUGCUGCAUGUAUUAAGGAUGUAAAUGGGUGGGAGAGAGAGUCUCUCACAUAGGAGAAUUUUGACUUAUUUAAAUUCUAUAUA